rnacentral:rRNA from 1 species
UACAGAGGGUGCAAGCGUUAAUCGGAAUUACUGGGCGUAAAGCGUGCGCAGACGGUUGCGUAAGUCAGAUGUGUAAGCCCCGGGCUCAACCUGGGAAUGGCAUUUGAUACUCGAGGGCUUGAGUACGGGAGAGGAGAGUGGAAUCCCCAGUGUAGAGGUGAAAUUCGUAGAUAUUGGGAAGAACACCGGUGGCGAAGGCGGCUCUCUGGACCGUAACUGACGCUGAGGCGCGAAAGCGUGGGGAGCAAACAGG